UUUCUCCUACAGCCCUGAUCCCGCCUUGGCCAUGAGGGAAAUCGUGCUCACGCAGACCGGGCAGUGCGGGAACCAGCUCGGCGCCAAGUUCUGGGAGGUGAUCUCUGAUGAACACGCCAUGGACUGCGCUGGCACCUACCACGGGGACAGCCACCUGCAGCUGGAGCGCAUCAACGUGUACUACAACGAGGCCAGCGGUGAGAUCCCCUCCUUCCCCACCGCCCUCCUGGGAACGCGGCCCUCCCCUCCUGAUGCGCUCCCGCCCCACGCAGGUGGCAGGUACGUGCCCCGCGCUGUGCUCGUGGAUCUGGAGCCCCGCACCAUGGACUCUGUGCACUCAGGGCCCUUCGGGCAGGUCUUCAGGCCAGACAACUUCAUCUUCGGUCAGAGUGGGGCUGGAAACAACUGGGCCAAGGGACACUACACAGAAGGCGCGGAGCUGAUGGAGUCAGUGAUGGACGUCGUCAGAAAGGAGGCUGAGAGCUGUGACUGCCUGCAGGGUUUCCAGCUGACCCACUCCCUGGGUGGGGGGACUGGGUCUGGGAUGGGUACCCUUCUGCUCAGUAAGAUCCGGGAGGAGUACCCAGACAGGAUCAUAAACACAUUCAGCAUCCUGCCCUCGCCCAAGGUGUCGGACACCGUGGUGGAGCCCUACAACGCCACCCUCUCAGUCCACCAGCUCAUAGAAAACGCGGAUGAGACCUUCUGCAUAGAUAACGAAGCGCUGUAUGUCAUAUGUUCCAGGACCCUAAAGCUGCCCACAUGCACCUAUGGUGACCUGAACCACCUGGUG
rnacentral:sRNA from 1 species